GUUGAAAUUCAUAAAAACCCUAAAGGCACCAGACCACAUAUGAUCUCGGAAGCUAAGCAGAGUUAGCUCUGGUUAGUAGUUCAACAGGUGACUACCAAAAAACAUCAGAUGCUGUUGGCU
rnacentral:rRNA from 1 species